AUACGGAGGAUCCGAGCGUUAUCCGGAUUUAUUGGGUUUAAAGGGUGCGCAGGCGGCCAUUUAAGUCAGCGGUUAAAUCGUGGGGCUCAACCCCAUUCUGCCGUUGAUACUGGGUGGCUUGAUUGCGGUCGAGGUUGGCGGACUUCGUUGUGUAGCGGUGAAAUGCAUAGAUAUGACGAAGAACACCGAUUGCGUAGGCAGCUGACCAGACCGCAAAUGACGCUCAUGCACGAAAGUGCGGGGAUCGAACAGGAUUAGAUACCCUGGUAGUCCGCACAGUAAACGAUGAAUACUUGUUUUCGGCGAUAUAAUGUCGGAGGCAAAGCGAAAGCGAUAAGUAUUCCACCUGGGGAGUACGCCGGCAACGGUGAAACUUAAAGGAAUUGACGGGG
rnacentral:rRNA from 1 species